GGUUGUGUAGUGUAGUGGUUAUCACAUUGGAUUUUGAUUCAUUCAAACUCCUUCCAAUAACCCCGGUUCGAACCCGGGCACGACCU